GAUGAACGCUGGCGGCGUGCCUAAUACAUGCAAGUCGAGCGAACAGACGAGGAGCUUGCUCCUCUGAUGUUAGCGGCGGACGGGUGAGUAACACGUGGAUAACCUACCUAUAAGACUGGGAUAACUUCGGGAAACCGGAGCUAAUAACGGAUAACAUGUUGAACCGCAUGGUUCAACAGUGAAAGACGGUCUUGCUGUCACUUAUAGAUGGAUCCGCGCCGCAUUAGCUAGUUGGUAAGGUAACGGCUUACCAAGGCAACGAUGCGUAGCCGACCUGAGAGGGUGAUCGGCCACACUGGAACUGAGACACGGUCCAGACUCCUACGGGAGGCAGCAGUAGGGAAUCUUCGGCAAUGGGCGAAAGCCUGACGGAGCAACGCCGCGUGAGUGAAGAAGGUCUUCGGAUCGUAAAACUCUGUUAUUAGGGAAGAACAAAUGUGUAAGUAACUAUGCACGUCUUGACGGUACCUAAUCAGAAAGCCACGGCUAACUACGUG
rnacentral:rRNA from 1 species